rnacentral:rRNA from 1 species
UACGGGGGGAGCAAGCGUUGUUCGGAUUUACUGGGCGUAAAGGGCGCGUAGGCGGCCACCGCAAGUCGACUGUGAAAAUCUCCGGGCCUUAACCCGGAAAGGUCAGCCGAUACUGCGGGGCUAGAGUGCAGAAGGGGCAACUGGAAUUCUCGGUGUAGCGGUGAAAUGCGUAGAUAUCGAGAGGAACACCUGCGGCGAAGGCGGGUUGCUGGGCUGACACUGACGCUGAGGCGCGAAAGCUAGGGGAGCGAACGGG